rnacentral:tRNA from 1 species
AGCUGGUGUAGCUCAAUUGGUAGAGCAACUGAUUUGUAAUCAGUAGGUUGAAGGUUCAAGUCCUUUCACCAGCUAUUC